UCCCCGUUUUUCGCCCCAAAUCCCCGUUUUUCACCAAAAUCCCCGUUUUUCACCCCAAAUCCUGCAGGCUGAUUCCCAUCCUGGUGCACGGGAUGCGCUACUCCGAGAUCGACAGCAUCCUGCUCAAGGGCGCCGCGGAGGAGGACGGCGCGGCGCCGGACGGCGAGCAGGACGUCCGGCCGUGCUACCUGCGGAAGCGCUCGGCCCAACGCUGCUCAAGGAGCUGCUUUUCCACCUGGAGUGGGUGGGCAAGGAGUCGGGGAUCCUGGUGCUGGGGGACAUCGCCAAAGGAGUCCAUCCAGAAGUUGAUGCCGCCGCUGAUCCAGAAGUGCAACGAGCUCAAGGACAAGGACGAGGACGAGGACCUGUUCCCGCUGCUCGAGGUGCCCCCGAGGGUGCUGGCAGGGUGGCAGGGUGCCCGUGCCACCCGUGACGCUGUCCCCGCUGUCCCCGGUGCCGGUCGGUGGCCGCGGCGCUGCAGCGCGGGUUCCUGCCCCACCGUGAGCCGGGGCACCGGCGCUGCGUGGCACCGGUGGCACCCGCAGCAGUGACACCCACGGCAGUGACACCCAUGUCCCCAUGGCAGUGACACCCACGGCAGUGACACCCAUGUCCCCAUGGCGGUGACACCCACGGUGGUGACACCCAUGUCCCCACGGCAGUGACACCCAUGUCCCCAUGGCGGUGACACCCGUGUCCCCAUGGCAGUGACACCCACGGUGGUGACACCCAUGUCCCCAUGGCGGUGACACCCGUGUCCCCAUGGCAGUGACACCCAUGUCCCCAUGGCAGUGACACCCAUGCCCCACGGCAGUGACACCCAUGUUCCCAGGCGGUGACACCCAUGCCCCACGGCAGUGGCACCCAUGUCCCCAUGGCAGUGACACCCAUGCCCCACGGCAGUGACACCCAUGUCCCACGGCAGUGGCACCCCCGUCCCGCGGGUUCCGGUGCCCGGUUCCCGGUCCGGUUCGUUUUUUCACCGUUUCCGGGGCGGGUGGGGGGAGGGGCGGUGCCAUAAAGGCCUUUGUGGACCGAGCGGGCCGAGUCCGCGUCCUCCGUUACCGGCGGGGGAAACGCGGGGGGGCUCCGGUACCGGCGGCGCCGCGGCGCUGGCUUCCGG
rnacentral:lncRNA from 1 species